rnacentral:lncRNA from 1 species
AGCCAUCAGAGAUCGUAUACAAGAGCGGCUAAUGGGGCAGCAGUCAGGAGGGUCCAAAUAUCUGCUGCCUAAUGGCAAGGAUGACAUUGAUAAUGAGGAUGAAGAAUACUAUGAUGAAGAUGAUGAGGAUGAAGAGUACUAUGAUGAGGAAGAAUACUAUGAGUCCUCAGACGAAGAGGAGAAAGAGAAGAAGGCAGAAAAGAAAUAAGUGAUCUUCUCCAUGCUUUCCAGCCCCUCAGUUUCGGUAGAUUACUAUACAGUAGCUAUGGAAGGUGAAAUAUGAUUUUCAUAGUGGCAGGAGAGAGUUUGAACAUCGGAAUGGAAAUAUGUUGUUUGUUUUGACAUUUCCUGUGGUCGAAAUUUCGACAACUCUGGGCAAAAGCAUACAUGAAAAAUGAUUUAUGUUGGUUAUGGGUAUGGAAGAGGACCUAGCAGAAGCUGUUUGUGUUUGUGUAUGGGCUGUGAGUGAAGUUAUAAUGGGAAGGUUGUGAACCAGAUUGAGAGCUUUUCAUCAUAAGUAUGGUUUAGAUUCUUUAUAACAGUUGUUUCUUUGAAGCUUUCAUUCUUUACUGUUUUGGUCAGCUUGUACUUUUUUUUUUUUUUUCUCUCUCAUAUGUUACAAUCAAUCUACCCCAUUCUGAUCAACCCUUAAUCCUAAAUUACCCAAAGACUAAGAAAAUGGGAAUGGUAGGGACCAAAUUUUUAAGAAUCAUUAGGUUUGUGCAUGUGGACACAGGUAACUUUGUGGACACAUAGGUAAUAAAGUUAAUAUUAUACAUAUAUUUUAAUUAUUUAAUAAAAAUUAAAAGAAGUUAUUUGGUAAAAAAUUAAACAAAAAUUUAAAACUUUUAAGUAUUUUAGGUAUUUUUGUUUAAAAAAAAAAUACUUGGAUGUCAUGACAAUAUUUAUCCUGUAAUAAAAAAAUCUAGAUAUUAAGUUAAAAGUAAUUAAUUAUUUAUUUUAUUGAGUUUCUAUUUUAUGAUUUUUUUUUUCAUAUGAGCAUAUUUUAUUAUUUCUUGAGUUGGUGAGUAUGGCUUGAAAUUUCCUUAACAUCAUUAAUAAACAGACAUAAGUUAUUAUUUGUUUAAUAAUAUUUUUUCUUAAAAUUUGAAAAAUAAAAUUAUUAAUCUUGUUUUAAUAAAAUUUUUGGAUAUAAUGUUUCCUAAACUUUUUUUAAAAUUAAAAUAAUAAUCCUAUUCAAAUGAAAUUCCUAACUCUUAUCAAAUUAAAAUAAAAUAAAAAUUAUAUUUUCAUCACAAUCGCCUAAAAGAAACUAUUAAAGUUAGAUAUGAAAGUACGAAAACUUAUUUAAUUUCAUAAAUCAAAAUUUAUGUGUAUUACAUAUAUUUUUCUUAAAUAAAAAUAACAAUUUAGAUUUGAAAAAAAAAAUUAUAUCUCAAUCUUAUAUAUCUAUUAAAUAUUAAUUUUAUCAUUAUUAAUAUUUGUGUUUAAUAAAUAUUAAUUUUUGUCUUUAUUUUAAUAAAAUGAAAAAUGAAAAAGAGGAUAUGAAUAUGAUUUUCUAUUUUUUAAAAAUAUAUUAUUUUUAUCUAAAUAAUUGCAAGUAUCUUAUAUCCAAAAAUUCUUUAUAUAGAAAACUGAGAAUAAAAUACCCAUUUAUUUAUUUAUUUUUAUAUUGCAAAUAGAAUUAAUGAGUAUUUUUGUGCUUUGGAAGUAAUGGAUUCUUUCCUUUAGAUCAUCAAGUGAAAGAGAUAGCACAUGGAACAUCGCUUCUAAUGGAGCCUUCGUCAACCUCCACCAAAGGGUGAGAUCGAAAUGCCUAAUGAUUAUUUGAAUUUUGAAGAACUAUUAGCUCAAGAUUCUUGAAUCGAACUGUUAGAAUUGGAAAGGUGAUUGAAAGGGCCCACAAUUAGAUGUCUUAACUCAACCAUCAAUCGGAGGGUUUGCAUUUCAUUGCGAAUGAAAUUCCAUAUUUGAAAGUCUUUGGUAUGGAGUAUCAAUAGCCACAGAUCAUCAACUCAAUGCAUUUCAAAUGGUAAAAGGGUUAUGAUUCACGGUUGAGAUUACAUUAAAUUAUAAGAAUGACAAUGGUCAUCUCGUGAGAGGUAAGGAGAUUGAGAAUGAAAUAAGAAGUUUGAUGAAUAAUGAUCAUGAAAUCAAAGGAAGAGUGAAGGAGAUGAAAGAAAAUAUCACAAGUAUCCUUAUUGAUGGUGGAUUUUCACACACUUGCUUAGGGCGUCUAAUUGAAGAAAUGAUUACCAACAUAGCAUAAAAACAAUGUUCAUGUGAUUCAAACAUCCAAGGAAUAUAUCAUCUUUAAAGAUGUUAAAGUUGUAUGUUUAUGCAUUAUAUCUUAUUAGAGAGUUCAUUUGUUAAAAAUCUUAUUAUUUUUCAAUGUGAAAAUUAGUGUGGAGAAAAAAGUACAUUACUGUUAUUUACAAUGAAAAUUCAAUAAAUAUGUCUAAAUUAAUUAUUAUAAAUUAAUUGAAUAUUUUAAUCUAAAAAGUGAACACCAAAAGCUUAUUAGUAUUUGUUUAAAAGAAUAGGGAACAAUCUACUCAUGAGAGUUUUGAAAAUUCAUCAUGGAAUAUCUUCCCUUGAUAAGAGAUUGAAGGCAUUUGGCUCCUGCUUGUUAUUGCAAGAUUGUUGAGGAAUAUGAUGUAGUUGGGGGCUAAGUUAGAGAAAGAUUAGGGUAUGAUUAUUGGUUUAACACAUUAUUUUAUUGUUAUUGCUUUAUUCUCUUACACUAAUUCCUUACGGGUAUGUUUUGUUACUCGAAAAUUUUCUUAGCAUUAACAUAGAACAAUAGUUGUAUAUCGUUUUUCUCUUCUGUUUCCUUCAUUUUCUUGCAUUUCUUUUUUCAUCUGGGUUGCACUCAAAUGUGAAAUUUACGAUUGCUUUCACUGGGAAAUUGGUUUUCUGUAUUAUUGUCGUUUGUGUUUAUCUCACAUUUUUUUCCCUUUUUUUCCAUUAGUUUCUGGCCUUAAGCGUUGUGUGUUCUAGUCAAAAUGUGAAGUUCAUGAUCAAUUUUCCCAAAUAAUUCAUUUGGGAAUUCGUUUGCUACGUGAACUGUUAUGUAUUAUUUUUGUCAUUCUCCUUCUCAAAUUUUGCCUAUCAGUUGGUUGCUGGAAAACUGAGGGAAAAAUGAAAGAAAUUAGAAUCCUGAAUCUAAUAUUUAUAACCUCAAGUGAGCCAAUUAAUGGUAUUGGGGAUCUGUAUGUUUUGCCUCUUUCUCUCCUUCAUUUCUCGCUUUUCCCUUCCGGGUUUGCCGUCAGAAUGUGAAGUUUUGAAGAAAAUGUUAAGGUUUAGCAAUCAAGUCAUGGGAAAUUUCUUGUGCGUGUUAGAGAAAUUCAAGAGGCUUCAAAUAUCUGCUGCCUAAUGGCAAGGAUGACAUCGAUAAUGAGGUGAGGGAUUCUAUGAUGAAGAGGAUGAAGAGUAUUAUGAUGAGGAAGAAUACUAUUGAGUCCUCAGACGAGUAGCAGAAUGAGAAGGCAGAAAAGAAAUAGGUGAUCUUCUCCAUGCUUACCGGUCCCUGAGUUUUUGGUAGAUCACUAUAGAAUAGCUAUGGAAGGUGAAGUUUGAUUUUCAUCAUGGCAGAAGAGAGUUUGAACAUCAGAAUGGAAAUAUCUUGUUUGUUUUGACAUUUUUGUGUGGUCGAAAUUUUGACAACUCUGGGCAAAAGUAUACAUGAAAAAUGAUUUAUGUUGGUUAUGGGUAUGGAAGAGGACCUAGCAGAAGCUGUUUCUGUUUGUGUAUGGCCUGCGAGUGAGUGAAGUUAUAAUGGGAAAGCUGUGAACCAGAUUGAAAGCUUUUCAUCAUCAAGUAUGGUUUAGAUUCUUUGUGACAGUUGUUACUUUGAAGCUUUAUUCUUUACUGUUUUGGUCAGCUUAUACUUCCUUUUUCUACCAAACUAAUCAUGUAACAAUCAAUCUACCCCUUUCUGAUCAACCCUUAUCCUAAAUCACCCAAGGACUCAGAAUAUCCAAAUGGUAGGGACCAAUUUUUAAGAAUCAAAUACGUGACGACAAAGUAGUCAACACACAGCCCUCCAAAGGAGACUUUCAA